rnacentral:rRNA from 1 species
UGCCAGCCGCCGCGGUAACACGGGGGGCGCAAGCGUUAUUCGGAAUUAUUGGGCGUAAAGAGCAUGUAGGCGGACUGUUAAGUCUGGCGUGAAAGCCCGGGGCUCAACCCCGGAAGUGCGUUGGAUACUGGCAGUCUUGAGUAUGGGAGAGGAAAGUGGAAUUCCGAGUGUAGGAGUGAAAUCCGUAGAUAUUCGGAGGAACACCAGUGGCGAAGGCGGCUUUCUGGACCGAUACUGACGCUGAGACGCGAAAGCGUGGGGAGCAAACAGGAUUAGAUA